rnacentral:misc_RNA from 1 species
UACAGGAAAUAUGGAGGUAUUACUUCGGUAUGGGAAUGAGGUACAGAUGAAGGAAUGGCUUGUUCCCUUGCUUGAAGGUAAUAUACGCUCUGGCUUUGCAAUGACAGAGCCUCAAGUUGCAUCCUCAGAUGCCACCAAUAUAGAGUGUUCCAUUAAAAGACAUGGCAACUCGUAUAUUAUCAACGGGACAAAAUGGUGGACUAGUGGAGCCAUGGAUCCCCGGUGCAAAAUUCUCAUUGUGAUGGGAAAAACUG